UUGCCUGCUGCCAUCCAGGUAUGAUGUGACUUGCUCCUCCUUGCCUUCCACCAUGAUUGUGAGGCUUCAACAGCAACGUGGAACUGCUCAUAGGCGGAAGGGACUUGCCUUGUCUCGGAUUACACAUUGGACUGUGGACUUUUGAGUUAACGCUGAGAAGAGUUAAGACUUUGAGGGACUGUUGUGAAGGCAUGAUUGGUUUUGAAAUGUAAGUACAUGUGAUUUGGGAGGGGU
rnacentral:lncRNA from 1 species